rnacentral:lncRNA from 1 species
GUUACAUUUUAACGUUGUGUUUCCGUUGUGUCGUUUGUUUUCUCUUAUAUUUGAGUGUAAAUUCACAUUACUGUAAGACGUGUCACGGUACUUAUCUAUCUCAAAUUCAUGUAUUUAGUUUUGAUGUUAUAUUUGUUAUUCUCAUCGGAUAUUGUCUAAUGCUUAGUCCGUUUCUGUGUGUCUUACAUUUUAAUGUUGUGUCGUUGUUCUUCUAAUGCGUUUCCCUCAGUUUCAGUUUGUUACCCCGAUUUUGUUUUUGUCCAUGGAUUUACGAGUUUUGAACAGCGGUAUACUACUGUUACCGUUAUUGUAUCCAAAUUUAACCAACAUCUUUGACAUAGUCCAUUAAUUGUAACUUUACAUUAAAUCUGUGUGUCCUGUUCUUUUCCUUCAGUGAUUCAAUGUUAUUUUGUUUCAUUGGGUUUUUCGAAUCUUAACUUAAAAGUCAUGAAAAUAUAUUUAAGGACACCGUCUCAGCUAAUACAAAUUUCUUAGUGCUUAUAGGUCUUAAUUUGACACACUAUUAUCAACAGGACACGACAUAUUCUUUCCGUUAUAACUGGACUACAUCAAAAAUAAGAUCACAACGAAGUAAUCACUUUGAUCUUAACGAACGUGGACAGUAUGUUUCGUGACAUUAUUUAAUAUAAUUCCAACAAAGUAUAUCCGUAACAUGACGAGGAAAUCGCUGUACGCCAACACGUAAAGAAUUGUUUAGUGGAAUUGGACAAAGAGUAAUGAAUACGCCAAAGCAUACAAAGUCUUUCAGCAUUUUUAUUAUCACUAAUUCGAUGUGCGUAGAAAAAUGUUAGAUCUCAAAUACAAUCGCUUUUUGUAUAGAAUUAAUUUAACUUGGUUUUCUUCUUUGUCUGCCUAGUUCUUCAUUAACCGAUGUAUAUAGAAACGAUUUUUAUGCAUUUAAUGUGUGGUCACAUGUUCGAAAACACAUCAAAAUUUGAUACCUUAAGAAUCUAAUUUGAAUCUAUGAUAGUGUGAAUUUAAGAAAAGAUUGAAGAUCUUUUUUUUUUUUUUUUUUGAAAACGAUACUGUUAAGAAACAUUUAUGAACAUGGCUCUAACUCUUUGCGUGUUUUCAUCGUAUUUGUGAUUGAUUUAAAAACAUGAUACCUUAUGCUGAAAUGAUGACAAACUUUUCGAAUAAACUCUUGGUACCAGGACAAAAUUUGUGUACUCAAGAUGCGAGUCUCGAAUCACACAGGUUAAAAUGGUCAACAAAAAACAAAGUUGAAGGAGACCAUCAUUUCUUCAUUUGAUUAAAAAAAAAUAUUCACAACUUUUUUCCUAAUUUAUUCAGUUUUAUAUCUCUCAAAGUUCAUCGGUAUUCAUUUGGCUGGUGUUAUCGCUGUAUUAUUUUGUUGUUAAAUGAUUUUCAACAUUAAAUAGGUUCCUGACAGCAACUUUUAUCAUCAUAAAUUUGGCAUGCAACUAUACCAUGCAGAACAGACUCCAAAUUGUACAUACACAAUGGGUCAAAGUUUCAAAUUGCUGGGUUGCAAUAUUCGUGACUAGUUAAUGUAGAAUGUUUACAUUGAAGUUGCAAUUAAAUGAAGGUUGAAACAAUUUGCUUGAAAAAAAAGUUCCCUAGUUUGGAUAAUGUAAACAAUUUCUCCAUACAAUUUCAUGAGAGCAAGUGAAUAACUUCUACAUAUAUUCGAUCUUAUAGUGAAGUCUAAGGGAUCUUGGUUG